rnacentral:tRNA from 1 species
UAUUCGGGGAGGCUUUAGCUUAAUAAAAGUGCUUGAGUUGCAUUCAGGAGAUGUGUAAUAAUGUUUCACAAGUCUUGCAA